UCUGGGGCGAGGCCUGGGCCUGAGGGCGGGGCGGGGCUUGGCGGCUGGGCGAGGCCAGGAGGAGCGCGACUUCCAGUCGCGCCAGACGCUGUAGUCUGUCAGCUCCGAGCUACAUGUGGAGCAAAGUUUCAGGGCGAGGCCACCAAGGGGCUCCUGAGGAAGACUGACCCUUGAGGAGGGUCCCUCCCAAGGCCAGAAGGCAGAGGGUCUGGAGAGCAGCAAGUUCCCUUGAAGAAGAGCCAGAGACUGGCGGCUCUGGAAGCCCUGACAUCAGGUCACAGCUUUCCCAGUCAGGUGAGUGUUUUUGUAUCAAUCCCUUGAGUCCUAUCCCCAUGCCAGGAACCCAAGGAAGCCAGAGAGAAAGAGGGGCUUGCAAAGGAAAACACAUGUACAUCUUCCCCCUAGUGGAAUAUCAGGCUGUUAGAUGGUCAGUAAAGGACACUUAACUCUACCUAGCCUAGUUCAGAAACCAAUGAAGAAGAUACAGCAAUAAGAUGAAUAUAUAGCAAAUACCAGCCUUGCUACAGAAAAAAGGCUAGUCUGGAGGAUGUGGUUUAGAUGGACAAUCAAGAGCACUAGUUACUUCCACCCAUAAAUCAGACACCGAUACUUCCUAGUCUCUGCCCCAGGGGUAAAACUGCAGCCUCCACAGAGCUGCUGCAUCAAGCACGCGCAGCCAAGUGCAAAUGGGAACACGCCUGUCAGCCUGCUGACCCCAGAGAGUGUACCAAGAGGAGACUGAGCACACUUGACCUUGUCUGUUCUCCAAAAUUCACCAAUUCACACUUCCCUGGGAGUGUAAAAAAGGCUGGAAAUUUUUCUCCAGGGAUGUCCCACCAUGUGGAAACACAAAGCGUAGGAGUAACGGUUCCACGUGGACAUCUCAAACUCUUGACUCUGGCAGAGCUAAGGAAGGAAAGAGGUUUCAACUGAAGCAGAGUUUGAGUUUGGGUAUUUUACUGGACUGGACUUUUAUGAGCAAAAUGAUGAUUCUCUUUUUUUAAUUUCUGAGAAGAAAAGGGAAAAACUGUAAGAUCUAUCUGAGAAGUCACAGAUAAGAUUUUCUGGGGACAGUCAUGAGAAAAAACAAUGCUUCUCUCUACUUGCACCCUACCAAUUCCAACUUGUUCAAUAAACAGGACACAGAAGACUCUGAGGUUCUUGGCAUGGACAACUGGGCAUAUUUACUAAAAUAGAGGUUUGGAGGAAAUUGUCAACUUAGGUUAGGAACAUGUUAAGACAGAGAUACCCAUAAAACAUUUAAGUAGACAGGUUGAGUGGGCUGGUGUUCAAGAGAGAGGACAAGACUAGAGAGAGGAAUUUGAGAGUCAUCUGUUUUCAGGUGAUGUUUGAAAACAGUAUUGGAUGAACUCAACUAGGGAGUGAAUAUUCCAAACAGAAGAAUUUCCAGGAUGAGCCUUGGGACACCAACCAUUUCCAGUCUAGAGAGGAAGGAGUGGCCAGAGCGAAGAGAAAAAGUAGGGGAAUGUGGAGUUAGGGAAGCCAGUGAAGACAAAGGUGAUCUGUGCAGAGGUUUUAAAAGGAUUGUAAAAUGAGGUCAGAGAAUUGGUGACUAGAUGUGGAAAGACAGUUUACUAGUGACUGACAAGAGCAUCUCAGGAGAUGUGAGGAGAAAAUCCUAGUGGCAGUUAAAAAGGGUGGAGAGGAUUUCCAGUUAAACAUGUUAGACUGAGCACAGGCAUUGACUUCUAUUUCCCACCUAAACUAGACUUACGUAAAGUAAUAAAAGAGAUAAAAACACACAGUGAAAGAAUGGGAGUGGAAGCACCAGUAAACAAGAGAGGUCAACAAAAUAUAGAGGCUGGAAAUGUAAGGAGGAGUGAUAACUGACUUAACAAGCCAGAGAAAGCUGAAACCCAUGUGUAGGGGUGAAGCGAUUAAGAAAAGAGACCCCUCUUGCAAGUGAACCCCAGGAAGGUGCAGAAAUUAGAACUGGUGAAAAGUUUGAAUAAGAAGCAGUGUGACAACAGAUCCCUUCCCCUACCUGCAUGGAAGCCUACAACAGUUGAGUAGAGCAGGUGUGAACUCAGGCACAAGACACAGCUGAGGGCCACUGAAAGCAGGGGAGUUGAGUGAAAGUCUACAUUCAUGUGGGAGUCCCACUUCUCCCACUCAGCUAUAUAUCUUCAGGCAAUAGAAGGAGGAUUUCUCUGGUGAAAAUGGCUCCCACAAAAGACCUGCAAACAUUGGCAACUGGGACCCAGCAGAAAAGCAGAAAAGCCUAUCAGCCGGCAGGCUGUAUCUGUUAGCAUAGAGCAUCCAGCAAGCUCUUCAGAGCCCCAUCAUCAACAGGAGCCAGACAUUUGAGGAAAAUCUCUACCAUGAAAGACAAGAAAACAUAGAGAAAAAGGAAAUUUUUUUAAAAUGGAGGCGAUUGAAAGUUAUGGAAGACGAUUUUGGCGAAACAUGUCCUCACGUUUUGGAUGUUAUACACAUGAAACAAGAACCAUCUGACAUACUCUUUCCCUCCCUGCCUUAUUUUUCUGCUUAUCAUCAAUUAGCAUGCCAAGUGUUUUGCAUAUUUAUCUUGUUUAUUGACUAUCGCUCCAUUAAAAUAUAAGCGCUAUUCAUUUGUUGUCAUAUCCCCAAUACUUGGAAUAAUGCCUGGCACAUAGUGAAUACUCCAAAAUUAUAUACUGAGUGAAUGAAUGAAUGAAUGAAUAGGGUUCUCUAAAUAAGAAACAUUAUGGGAAAAAACUCAAAAAUUAAAAAUAUGGCAUCAGUUUUUUAAAAAAAAUUUUUAACUUUUUAAAUUGAAAUAUAGUUGGUGUACAAUAUUAUAUAAGUUACAGGUGUACAAUAUAGUGAUUCAUAAUGUGGCAGCAGUUUUAAAGUCACUAGAGCAGGGAGAUAAAAUAGAGGAAUUUUAGGACAGUAGAAUAAAAAGAUAAAGAUAUUAAAAAUUGAAAAGAGAAGGGUCAGGAUGGCUGAGUAGAAGGAUGCUCAUACCUUACCCUCUCCCACCAAUACACCAAGACUGACAUCCACAGACCCACCCAUCCAAUCAGAACACCUGCUGAACUUUGACAGAACAUUGCCUUCUUCAAAAGACAAAAUAUGCCACUCAUCUGAUAGGACAAAAGUAAAAAAGAAGGAAGAAAAAGGAAAAUAGUGCAGGUCUGGUCCCAUGGAGAGGGAGCGGCAAAGGAAGAAUAGCUCUCAUUCACUGGGUCUCCCCUUCUCCAAUGAAGAGUCAGCAGGAUGGCAGGGGAAUCUCCUAGGCUUGGAUCUGUACAGAAUAGCCCUUGACAAACAGAACUAAGUUAAAUGGGCACUAAGGAUCCCCGCAGCUCCCAGCCCUAGAUGCGAACUGGCAGGUGUGGGAGGAGACAGACUGCUCGAGCCUGGCGGAGGACUCCAGCAGUCUGUACAGAGGCAACCUUGGGGGACUGCAGUGUGCUGUGCGCCAUUGCUGGGAGGGUAUACAGAUCAGAACAACCUGGGUCCCUCAUAAAAUA